CGACUUAUAUUCUGUAGCAAGGUUAACCGUAUAGGGGAGCCGCAGGGAAACCGAGUCUUAACUGGGCGUUAAGUUGCAGGGUAUAGACCCGAAACCCGGUGAUCUAGCCAUGGGCAGGUUGAAGGUUGGGUAACACUAACUGGAGGACCGAACCGACUAAUGUUGAAAAAUUAGCGGAUGACUUGUGGCUGGGGGUGAAAGGCCAAUCAAACCGGGAGAUAGCUGGUUCUCCCCGAAAGCUAUUUAGGUAGCGCCUCGUGAAUUCAUCUUCGGGGGUAGAGCACUGUUUCGGCUAGGGGGUCAUCCCGACUUACCAACCCGAUGCAAACUACGAAUACCGAAGAAUGUUAUCACGGGAGACACACGGCGGGUGCUAACGUCCGUCGUGAAGAGGGAAACAACCCAGACCGCCAGCUAAGGUCCCAAAGUCAUGGUUAAGUGGGAAACGAUGUGGGAAGGCACAGACAGCCAGGAUGUUGGCUUAGAAGCAGCCAUCAUUUAAAGAAAGCGUAAUAGCUCACUGGUCGAGUCGGCCUGCGCGGAAGAUGUAACGGGGCUAAACCAUGCACCGAAGCUGCGGCAGCGACACUAUGUGUUGUUGGGUAGGGGAGCGUUCUGUAAGCCUGCGAAGGUGACCUGUGAGGGUUNCCUUGGCGAUUGACGUUACCCGCAGAAGAAGCACCGGCUAACUCCGUGCCAGCAGCCGCGGUAAUACGGAGGGUGCAAGCGUUAAUCGGAAUUACUGGGCGUAAAGCGCACGCAGGCGGUCUGUCAAGUCGGAUGUGAAAUCCCCGGGCUUAACCUGGGAACUGCAUUCGAAACUGGCAGGCUAGAGUCUUGUAGAGGGGGGUAGAAUUCCAGGUGUAGCGGUGAAAUGCGUAGAGAUCUGGAGGAAUACCGGUGGCGAAGGCGGCCCCCUGGACAAAGACUGACGCUCAGGUGCGAAAGCGUGGGGAGCAAACAGGAUUAGAUACCCUGGUAGUCCACGCCGUAAACGAUGUCGAUUUGGAGGUUGUGCCCUUGAGGCGUGGCUUCCGGAGCUAACGCGUUAAAUCGACCGCCUGGGGAGUACGGCCGCAAGGUUAAAACUCAAAUGAAUUGACGGGGGCCCGCACAAGCGGUGGAGCAUGUGGUUUAAUUCGAUGCAACGCGAAGAACCUUACCUGGUCUUGACAUCCACAGAACUUUGCAGAGAUGGUUUGGUGCCUUCGGGAACUGUGAGACAGGUGCUGCAUGGCUGUCGUCAGCUCGUGUUGUGAAAUGUUGGGUUAAGUCCCGCAACGAGCGCAACCCUUAUCCUUUGUUGCCAGCGGUUCGGCCGGGAACUCAAAGGAGACUGCCAGUGAUAAACUGGAGGAAGGUGGGGAUGACGUCAAGUCAUCAUGGCCCUUACGACCAGGGCUACACACGUGCUACAAUGGCAUAUACAAAGAGAAGCGACCUCGCGAGAGCAAGCGGACCUCAUAAAGUAUGUCGUAGUCCGGAUUGGAGUCUGCAACUCGACUCCAUGAAGUCGGAAUCGCUAGUAAUCGUAGAUCAGAAUGCUACGGUGAAUACGUUCCCGGGCCUUGUACACACCGCCCGUCACACCAUGGGAGUGGGUUGCAAAAGAAGUAGGUAGCUUAACCUUCGGGAGGGCGCUUACCACUUUGUGAUUCAUGACUGGGGUGAAGUCGUAACAAGGUAACCGUAGGGGAACCUGCGGUUGGAUCACCU
rnacentral:rRNA from 1 species